CUACGGGACGCACCAGUGGGGAAUAUUGGACAAUGGGGGAAACCCUGAUCCAGCAAUGCCGCGUGUGUGAAGAAGGCCUGCGGGUUGUAAAGCACUUUCGGUUGGGAGGACUGCUUCUAGCACUAAUAUUGUUGGAAGUUGACGUUACCUUCAGAAGAAGCACCGGCUAACUCCGUGCCAGCAGCCGCGGUAAUACGGAGGGGUGCAAGCGUUAAUCGGAAUUACUGGGCGUAAAGCGCGCGUAGGCGGCUAGAUCAGUCGGGUGUGAAAGCCCCGGGCUUAACCUGGGAACUGCAUCCGAUACUGUCUAGCUUGAGUACAGGAGAGGAGAGUGGAAUUCCACAUGUAGCGGUGAAAUGCGUAGAUAUGUGGAGGAACACCAAUGGCGAAGGCAGCUCUCUGGCCUGAUACUGACGCUGAGGUGCGAAAGCGUGGGGAGCAAACAGGAUUAGAUACCCCGGUAGUC
rnacentral:rRNA from 1 species